rnacentral:rRNA from 1 species
UACGGAGGGUGCGAGCGUUGUCCGGAAUCACUGGGCGUAAAGAGCUCGUAGGCGGUCUGUCACGUCGGCUGUGAAAUCCCGAGGCUCAACCUCGGGUCUGCAGUCGAUACGGCAAACUAGAGUAUUGCAGGGGAGACUGGAAUUCCUGGUGUAGCGGUGAAAUGCGCAGAUAUCAGGAGGAACACCGGUGGCGAAGGCGGGUCUCUGGGCAAUAACUGACGCUGAGGAGCGAAAGCGUGGGGAGCGAACAGG